UCCCUGGUGGUCCAGUGGUUAGGACUCUGCACUUUCACUGCCAAGGGUCUAGGUUCAAUCCCUGUUCAGGGAA